rnacentral:rRNA from 1 species
CCUACGGGAGGUAGCAGUGAGGAAUAUUGGUCAAUGGGCGCGAGCCUGAACCAGCCAAGUAGCGUGAAGGAUGACUGCCCUACGGGUUGUAAACUUCUUUUAUAAAGGAAUAAAGUGAGGCACGUGUGCCUCUUUGUAUGUAGUUGAUGAAUAAGGAUCGGCUAACUCCGUGCCAGCAGCCGCGGUAAUACGGAGGAGCCGAGCGUUGUCCGGAUUUAUUGGGUGUAAGGGGAGCGUAGAUGGGUUGUUAAGUCAGUUGUGAAAGUUUGGGGCUCAACCGUAAAACGGCAAUUGAUACUGGCAGUCUUGAGUACAGUUGAGGUAGGCGGAAUUCGUGGUGUAGCGGUGAAAUGCUUAGAUAUCGCGAAGAACUCCGGUUGCGAAGGCAGCUUCCUAAACAGCCACUGACAUUGAUGCACGAAAGUGAGGGUAUCAAACAGGAUUAGAUACCCUAGUAGUC